GCAGUAGGGAAUCUUCCGCAAUGGGCGAAAGCCUGACGGAGCAAUGCCGCGUGAGUGAUGAAGGUUUUCGGAUCGUAAAGCUCUGUUGCCAGGGAAGAACGCUUGGGAGAGUAACUGCUCUCAAGGUGACGGUACCUGAGAAGAAAGCCCCGGCUAACUACGUGCCAGCAGCCGCGGUAAUACGUAGGGGGCAAGCGUUGUCCGGAAUUAUUGGGCGUAAAGCGCGCGCAGGCGGUCAUUUAAGUCUGGUGUUUAAUCCCGGGGCUCAACCCCGGAUCGCACUGGAAACUGGGUGACUUGAGUGCAGAAGAGGAGAGUGGAAUUCCACGUGUAGCGGUGAAAUGCGUAGAUAUGUGGAGGAACACCAGUGGCGAAGGCGACUCUCUGGGCUGUAACUGACGCUGAGGCGCGAAAGCGUGGGGAGCAAACAGGAUUAGAUACCCYWGUAGUCAGU
rnacentral:rRNA from 1 species